GGCAAUUGUUCUGAAGAGGCUGACAUCAACUACCAGUGAUGACACUCUCUUGUAAUGUUUUGGUGCUAUCUACUAAAUAUUACUACUACAUAAUAUUGACAAUUCGUCUGUGUGCAGGCCCGUGAUAACCAUUUAGAUCGACCAGAUAAAGGACUUGGACAUCAACAAUUUACCCAGAAACCAAUAAGAUAUUGUAAUCACAAGCAAUCACCCAUCUCUUUGGAUGGUGCUCUAUUGUGAUUCUUUCCUCUAUGACUGUUAAAUAAGCAAUGUAUUGCACUUUUGUUAUGCAAAAGUAUGGCGACCAUGUAUCAACCUGUGUAUCUAUUUUAUACACUAAUUAUGAAUUACUAGAAAUUUUAUUACAUUAAUCAUUUUUAGAUAGCUGCUCAUCUCAAACGAAAUAAACUGUUCAGGGACGCUUGACCCAACAUGCUUGUGACC
rnacentral:lncRNA from 1 species